rnacentral:rRNA from 1 species
AACCAGCUCUUCAAGUGGUCGGGAUGAUUAUUGGGCUUAAAGUGUCCGUAGCCGGUUUAGUAAGUUCCUGGUAAAAUCAGGUAGCUUAACUAUCUGUAUGCUAGGAAUACUACUAUACUAGAGGGCGGGAGAGGUCUGAGGUACUACAGGGGUAGGGGUGAAAUCUUAUAAUCCUUGUAGGACCACCAGUGGCGAAGGCGUCAGACUGGAACGUGCCUGACGGUGAGGGACGAAAGCCAGGGGAGCGAACCGGAUUAGAUACCCGGGUAGUCCUGGCUGUAAACGAUGCAUACUAGGUGAUGGCCCGGCCAUGAGCCGUGUCAGUGCCGUAGGGAAACCGUUAAGUGUGCCGCCUGGGAAGUACGGUCGCAAGGCUAAAACUUAAAGGAAUUGGCGGGGGAGCACCACAAGGGGUGAAGCCUGCGGUUC